rnacentral:misc_RNA from 1 species
AACCAUAGAAACCUGCGGAGUACCUGCGGAAGGAUCAUUAACGAAUGGUCUUUGUACCUUCAAAACCCCUCAAACCAGUGGACAUGAAAAUGUGCUUCGGCGCUCCGGCGCCGCUUUUAUGCUGUAAUUCUGUCAUUUGUGUCUGAAUGCAAAGCAAAGAAUCAAAACUUUUAGCAACGGAUCU